CCAUUGAGAAGUACCAGUUCAGUCUUUACCCAAUAUUUAUGGAAGGAGUGGGAAAACCAAAGAUAAUUAAUAGUUUCACUCAAGAUGAUAUUGAAAAACACCAGAAUGAUGCAGGUUUAUAUGUAAUUGUGCCAGUAAUUAUUUCCUCUUCCAUCUUAUUGCUUGGAACAUUAUUAAUAUCACACCAAAGAAUGAAAAAGCUGUUUUGGGAAGAUGUUCCAAACCCCAAGAAUUGUUCCUGGGCACAAGGACUUAAUUUUCAGAAGGUUGCUUUUUCAAUUUUUUUUAACCCAGAAUAUAUAAGAUUGCAAUCUAGAUGCCAUAUGACUUAUAGAGCAUUCAGCAUUUUUAAGAUUUAAAAGUUCAUAUUUUAUUCAAUUCAUCUUAAUGUAUCUGUUAUUAUAUAUUUUCAAGAAUAGCAGGAUGCAGGGAUUUGAAAUCAGGAAGAAACAAAUGUCAAUGCAUAGUUUAUCGUAUGAGAGUUCACAAUAUACAUAUGUUGCUUCUGUGUCACAGUACAUAAUAAAAUAAAUAUUAGAAAGUUAAGGGUCAAUCUGAUGGAGAACAUAUAUUUGGAUACACUUUUUUUGGUAUAAACUGUAUUUAGGCAAAAGGCUGGAAUCAGUAUUUUUAAUGUCUAUAAUUAUCUCCAUAAUUAUUUAAAUAAAU
rnacentral:sRNA from 1 species